rnacentral:misc_RNA from 1 species
GCUUCUCUAAGCUUUUUGACAAUUACAUUAGCAUCUGGCAUGGUUCCAAUGAGAAUACCUCCUGGGCGAAGAAGAGCUGAAAUAUUGGAUAAGGCACGUCGUGCACGGGCCUCAGUAGACCAAGAAUAAUGCAAUGCAAACUGGCAACUGCAAAUGUCGAAUGGAGCAUCAUCUGCUAAGACAUGAUCCAGCCUCGCCUCAUAACAAUCUCCACAUAUUAGGCGGGCUGGAAAUGAGAACUUUUUACGACGCU